GAGUAGGAGGGACAAUCGCGGGCGCGCUGUCGCAUCGCAGUAACCUUUUCACGGGUGAAUUCGCACGUUUCCAUGUGCGCUCGCAGGACCGCCGCCAGCAGGCGGGGCUGAUCGUCCAGCUCGGUGGCCAGGGCCCGCUGGUUCCCUCGGUUCUGGGUGCUCUGCUGCAUGGCCGCCAGAAUACGAGCCUUUUCGCGCUUCGGCACGCGCCCAAACCUGACCGCUGUAAGGGGAGAAGGAGAGAAAACAUUUGAUUAGUGGGAGUCUCAUAGGAAAUUUCAAAAUGUAUAAUUUCAGAUGAAUCCAAAAUCGCAGCCAUCAUUCUUCCGGGAAGAACAAUUUGGAACAACGAAGUAUAAAUACCCUAUCCAAAAUAAUAGCAGAAUGGUUUUAUCAACUAGAUUCAAGAACUAAAAAUUUUCGUCAGAUUUGACUGCUUCUAAAGACAAAUAAACAAUUAGAAGUGGCAUGAUGAUACACAAGUUCGGAAUGCAACAACGAAUUUGAACAUUUGCGACCAAUGACACACUGAAUUUAACACAAAUUACAGUUUCUUUGAAAAAUAUUUCAAAGAACCUUCUAAACAUCUGGAGUCAGCACU